rnacentral:rRNA from 1 species
UACAGAGGUCUCAAGCGUUGUUCGGAUUCAUUGGGCGUAAAGGGUGUGUAGGUGGCGCGCUAAGUCGGGUGUGAAAUUUCGGAGCUUAACUCCGAAACUGCAUUCGAUACUGGCGUGCUUGAGGACUGGAGAGGAGACUGGAAUUCAUGGUGUAGCAGUGAAAUGCGUAGAGAUCAUGAGGAAGACCAGUGGCGAAGGCGGGUCUCUGGACAGUUUCUGACACUGAGACACGAAGGCCAGGGGAGCAAACGGG